AGAAUCAACGCUGGCGGCGUGCCUAACACAUGCAAGUCGAACGAGAAAGUGGAGCAAUCCAUGAGUAAAGUGGCGCACGGGUGAGUAACACGUGACUAACCUACCCUUGAGUGGGGAUAACCUAGGGAAACCUGGGCUAAUACCGCAUAAUACCUUCGGGUCAAAGGAGCAAUUCGCUUUAGGAGGGGUCGCGGCCGAUUAGUUAGUUGGCGGGGUAAUGGCCCACCAAGACGAUGAUCGGUAU
rnacentral:rRNA from 1 species